AUUGAACGCUGGCGGCAUGCCUAACACAUGCAAGUCGAGCGGGCGAAGGGAGCUUGCGCCUGGAUGCAGUUGCCGACGGGCGGGUAAUGACUAGGAAGCUGCCUGACAGAUGGGGAUAGCGUCCGUUAAGGGGAGCGAAGACAGCAUACGUUAAUAUGUAGAACGGGGGGGUUCAACGGACAACACCCGAUUAGAUGACACUUAGUGGGGGAACCAAGUUGCAUUAGCUAGUUGGUAGGGUAACGGCCUACCAAGGCGACGAUGCGUAGCUGAUCUGAGAGGAUGAUCGGCCACACUGGAACUGAGACACGGUCCAGACUCCUACGGGAGGCAGCAGUAGGGAAUAUUGCACAAUGGGCGAAAGCCUGAUCGAGCCAUGCCGCGUGUGUGAAGAAGGUCUUCGGAUUGUAAAGCUCUGUUAGUUGGGAGGAAGAGAAGUAAGUGAAUCUCUUGCUGUCUUGACGUUACCAACAGAGUAAGCCCCGGCUAACUUCGUG
rnacentral:rRNA from 1 species